ACACUGAGCUGGAAGAAUCAUG
rnacentral:miRNA from 1 species